rnacentral:rRNA from 1 species
GACGAACGCUGGCGGCGUGCCUAACACAUGCAAGUCGAGCGAGGAGAUUCCUUCGGGAUGAUCCUAGCGGCGGACGGGUGAGUAACACGUGGGCAACAUGCCUCAUAGAGAGGAAUAGCCUCCCGAAAGGGAGAUUAAUACCUCAUAACAUUGCAGUUUCGCAUGGAACAGCAAUUAACGGAGUAAUCCGCUAUGAGAUGGGCCCGCGGCGCAUUAGCUAGUUGGUGAGGUAACGGCUCACCAAGGCGACGAUGCGUAGCCGACCUGGGAGGGUGAUCGGCCACAUUGGGACUGAGACACGGCCCAGACUCCUACGGGAGGCAGCAGUGGGGAAUAUUGCACAAUGGGGGAAACCCUGAUGCAGCAACGCCGCGUGAGUGAUGACGGCCUUCGGGUUGUAAAGCUCUGUCUUCAGGGACGAUAAUGACGGUACCUGAGGAGGAAGCCACGGCUAACUACGUGCCAGCCGCCGCGGUAAAAC